AACCCUAUAGCUAGCCCCC
rnacentral:rRNA from 1 species